CAAAUUAAACCUCUACAGACAACUUUAAGGGUGCACUCACUCAUGAGGUGAUCCUUAAAACAUUCUCUCACUUAAACUGAAUGUGCUUAUUGUUUUUAUCUUAUAGUUAUAAAAUGGGAUGAAAUUUGAAAAAAAUAGGCAGGACAGGAGUUUUGAGUUAAAAAAAAAAAGGCAGGAUGAGACACUUGCAAAAAAAAAGUCAGGACGACAAGUUAGGUAAAACAAAGUCAGGAUAAACUAAAAAAAAAAAAAAAAAAAAGGCAGGACCGAACAGAGUGAAAAAUAAAAAGGCAGGACAGAUAUUACAGCUAAAAAAAAUGCAGGACAAAAUUUUUCAUCCUAGCCCCCCCCCC
rnacentral:lncRNA from 1 species